UUCAGGCCUAAAAACCUGAAUCUAUAUCAAUGUUAAAUUUUAAUUUAUCAAAACUAUAUUCUAAUUAUUAAUUAAUUUUAAUUUUUAAUAACUAAUACCAAUGGAUCUCUUGGCACUGAUAUCGAUGAAGAACGUUGCAAACUGCGAUAAGUAGUGUGAAUUGCAUCUUUUGUGAAUCAUCAAAUCUUUGAACCCAAAUUGGGCUGGUACCUUAAAUACCAGCAUGUUUGGUUGAGUGUUAUAAAUUAAUAACCGAUGCUUGGUUUUAAUUUAAUUGAGUUUAAUGUUAUUCUUUGAGUAAUGUUAAAAAUUUGAGAAUUCUUAAUACGAUUCUUUAAAUUCAAGCUUAAUAAUUUGAGUAUAAUUUAUUAUACUUAGAUGAUGUUACGCUAAUAGUUAAAUUCAAUAGUUAUUAAUAAGUUUUAGCAUUAAUUUGCUCUAACUUUUAUUAUUAUUGAGUUUUAUCAAGCUAUUAAGUUUAAAAUGUCACCGUAAAGUUAUUAUGUAAAUAAAAUUGAAUAAGUUUACUUAUUCAUUAUAUUGAUGCCUCAACUCAAACAA
rnacentral:sRNA from 1 species